CUGAGCUGAGGCCAUCAGACAGAUGCAGCUGAACUGAGUUGGCCUGGUAAAGGGAGCGGCUUGCUCCCCAGCAGAGAGAGCUGUGCAGCUGCCUCAAGUGGAGAUUACAGGCUGUAAAGCUGCAGGAUGCCUCUAAAGUGGCUCAGCUGUGACAGACUUGCUGACACACUCCAUGAUGGACUCAAUGGGUUGUUACCAAAGGCCCAGAUAAUUUGCACCCAGAAGCCUUAAAUGAACUAGCUGAGGAGUACUCUGAGCCACUAAAGUUAAUCUUUAACAAAUCUUGGAACACUGGGAAAAUCCAAUGGAUUGGAGGACUGGCAGUGGAGCUCCAAUAUCUAAAAAGAAUGACCCAAAGAACUAUAAACUGGUUAGCCUGACAUU